CUCCUUUCGAUUCUUUCUCUCCGCCUCGCGCGCCCCCGCUCUCUUCUCGCGCACUCCGGCAGCGGGCAACCGCGCCGCGCCGGUCGCCGGUGACGGCGACGAGCGCCACCGCGCCGCGCUGCGCCAUGCGAGCCUCCUCCUUUUCCUUCCUCUGUUUCUCCCUGUCUCCCGCAACAGAGAGCGUGAGAGAGAGCAGAGAGGCACAGCCCGCCUAACCGAUGCGGCGGAUGGGGCCACCCCGGCCACCGGCGACGGCGACGAGCCGCGCUGUGCGAGCCUUCCCUUUCCCCCUUCCUUUCUCUUUUUCACCCAUCCACCACCUCCUUCUAUUGGAGAGAGCCGUGAGCUACGGCGGCGCCCUCCCUGUCCGCUUUGCCGGCGUGCGCGAGCACCUCGAUGGUGAACGCGCCGCCGUCAAACGGCUCGGUGGUGGUGCAUGUACUUUGCCCCUGUGAGAGGGUAGUUCUUCGUCCCUGUCGCCUCGGCUUGCCGAUGCGCGACGGGAUCGAGAGGAACAGGCGCGGCCUUACGGCGGCGCUCUUUGUCGGUGAGGCCCGAGGCCAUACUCCGGUGAACUUUUGUGGUUCUUUUGUUUGCUUUUCUCUGCCCUGCUAGAGUUCUUUGGGGGGGGGGGCGACUUUUUUCUUUGUGAUCUAUUUCAACCGAAAAAUUCUAUACCCAACCUGUCUGAUACCAUUGAUAGAUAACUGGAUCGGUUAGGGUUAGGAAUUCACGGUGAACCUAUCUUCUCCUUGUCCAGAUGAGGAACUCCCGGUGCUGGCCAUGGUGACGGUGGCCGGUGAAGGCAGAGAGUGGAUCGCGGUGGUGGUGGAGCUUCCUGUCGGCCUAGCGCAACCCUAGAUCGGAUUGGUGUGUCGGUGGUGUUGUGGUGCACGGUCAACCUCGUGAUGCGUGCCCCGGCACCCCACCUCUUUAUAUUGCGCUGGCGACAAGGGCUCACCAACCAUGGUUUUUCAGCCCGUUGGGUUGGAACAGGAGAGAGAUCAACCUAAUAGUGAGAUGUAUCCAUAUUUGGGUCUGCGAAUUUCAUUGUGACUGAUCGGUUUUAUGUCCAUGAGAAAUAAUUUUGUAGAAUAUUUUGGGGGGGGGGUCAUAUGAUGUAUUUUAAAGUUAUGAACUAAUUUAUGUGUUAUGUAUACGGAGCUUAUGGAGUUCAGUAUCCAUCGGUUGACUGCUACAGGAGCAAUUGGAGUGUUCCAUGAACCUCUUGGCCAUGCAUUGUAUGAAUGCAAUUUUGGAGUCAAGGAAAAUACUUGUCUCAAGUCUGCAGAAAGUACAGGGCUGGGUUCCGUUGGAAGUCAUCUGCAAGUGUGCCACCUCUCAUGAUGGAUUCUUCUCAUGGUGGGGAUUCGGUCUGAAGGUGGAAGCAUUGCUCCAGAGUCACUCAAAGUCUCUAAAUUUGGCAACAAAUAUAUUUGAGGAAAGAAUACGAACACCAUUUUUGUCGUUGCACACCUGGACUCUCAUGGAUAUCUGGGAAUGAGCACUUCCUAUUCAAAAUUCACUUGCAGAAUCAACUCAAUGGUAUGUAAUUUUUGCUGCAGCAAUAUGAGCAAAUAUUAUAUUCUUUGGGAUAGUUGCUGAUGUUUUUUCUUCACAUGAAAAGCUUAGUAAUGAUCUAAGGUAGGGUUCCCGUGUCACUUGUUAAAUAAACGAUUCAGUUUCAGCUAGACUAUUCUUUGCUACAUCACACUUAUACUUCCGCUGCCCAGACGAUAUGCAUUAUUAAUUGCCACUAAAUUAGGCAUCAAAAGUAGUUUGUGGCUCAGGUGUUAAAUGUUCUUCAUGCACAUCAAGUUGUCCUAAAUUUUGGUGGAAUUAAUUUCUCUAAAACAACCUUCUGACUAAGUUGUACUAAAUCAGCGACACUUAUUUUGGGACGGAAGGAGUACUAAACAUAAUGUUUUUGCUGCUUAUUGAUAUUGCUAAUCUUUUCCAUGAAUGUUUCUCACUCUGGUAUCUUCGAUAGUUUACCUGCUUUGGCUCAGACAAGAUAUACUUAUAAAGCAAAUUAUUUCAUAUACUAAAAAAUUGUUCCUUGUGUUAUCCGAAAUCAUCUCAUGCCGAAACCUAUCUUUGGACUAAGCUGCAACUAACAGCUUUUAUUCUGUAUUAAAUCAGCUAUCAACAAUAUCCACACUACCGUAUUUAUUGUGCUUUUUAGUUGCCUUAGUAGUGGUAUAGUUCACAUGUCCAUGUCCAUUUUGCAGAAGGUCCAUAUGUUGAACUUCUGUUUAAGAAUCUGCUAAUGACGGUGUGUAGAACUGCGGCUUCCUUGCAAGGACUGCUCGCUGUCACUCUUUUGGCAAUCUUGCUGAAGAUUGGAUCGCCAGUGUGCCGUUAUUUUAUUUGUGGAGCUGUAAGGCUUGGGACUGAGGCAGGAGCAUUCCCCCAAGGAAAAUCAAGUUUUAUUGGGAGGUCAUAUGUUGUGGAUGUCACCAUAUCGUGUAUUUUCCUUCGUUGAGGUUAUAUUUCAUUUCAGGUUCUAGAAUCUUAUCCAAAAGGCAGUGUUGUUUUUAUGGAUUUUGUUAAGCUUUGUCUUACGACACUUCAUGGCAGUGUUCACUGUCAAAUCCUGUAGGAAAUAUGGCUGACUAUGGAUGCGCACAUGUGAUUGAUGUUCAUUCAUUUUGCAGCACUACUAGCUUCGCCACACACACCACCUGUGAGAUGGUUCUGCCUGUAGAGAUGUACCUAUAAUGAACUAUAAAUGAGAUUGAUUGUGAUUCAUUUUACAACAGUACUAACAUAGCCACUUACACCACCGGAUGUUAUCAUGGUAAUCUCGUAGUCAUGAGGAAAAGGCGCCUUGGUGGCGAGUGUCAUGGUUUUUUCCUUUUCACGUGUUUUGAUCACUUCAUUGGUCAACGUAGGAGUGUGUGUGCGCCUUAAUGCCUGUGUAUUUUUGGUUGAAAACAUGAUUGGUACUUGGGACAGUUUUGAUGUGAAAACACUAAGGUUAAGCAAGUGCCUUUUU
rnacentral:rRNA from 1 species